AAUAUUUGACAAUGGGGGCAACCCUGAUCCAGCCAUGCCGCGUGUGUGAAGAAGGUCUUCGGAAUGUAACGCACUUUAAGUUGGGAGGAAGGGCUUUAGGCUAAUACCCUGAAGUUUUGACGUUACCAACAGACUAAGCACCGGCUAACUCUGUGCCAGCAGCCGCGGUAAUACAGAGGGUGCAAGCGUUAAUCGGAAUUACUGGGCGUAAAGCGCGCGUAGGUGGUUCAGUAAGAUGGGUGUGAAAUCCCCGGGCUUAACCUGGGAACUGCUUUCAUAACUGCUGAGCUAGAGUACGGUAGAGGGUAGUGGGAUUCCUAGUGUAGCGGUGAAAUGCGUAGAGAUUAGGAGGAACACCAGUGGCGAAGGCGACUACCUGGACUGAUACUGACACUGAGGUGCGAAAGCGUGGGGAGCAAACA
rnacentral:rRNA from 1 species